CCAUUUACAGGAGUACUCAACAUUACCUCCGAUCCUCAGCAACGAUGGCCAAGUACACGAGAAACAGUUUCCAAGGGUUUGUGCUACUUUGUUUCAUUCUGGUGAUGUGUUUUGCCUGUCUUGGACGCGAACAUGGUGAAGGCACAAACAACAAGGAAAUCAACAGGAAGAUCGAAGUAAGCCACGUAGUCCGCCCCCCUUGUUACAAGAACGUGCACCAGGUCCCAGGCCAACCAUUCUGCUGUAAAAAGGAUAGGCUGUGCUGGCCGAAUCUCGGAGAAUGCUUCAUAAACUGCCCGUGCAAGAUUAGAUGCCUACGACCAGCAGCAACACACUAGUUUUAUCAUCUCCUUCUUGUGUGGAUAAAUAUAAACCUUACGGGUCUCUAAAUAAGGACGUGUUGAUCUAUGAUGGACACACAAAAAUAUGGAAUCUAAUCUUUCUCUACUCUUCA